GUGCCCGUAGCUCAGUUGGAUAGAGCGACGGACUUCUAAUCCGUAGGUCACAGGUUCAAAUCCUGUCGGGCACACCA
rnacentral:tRNA from 1 species